GGUGAGCGUUCCUAACGUAAUGGCCGGCGGACGGGUGAGUAACACGUGGGUAACCUGCCUGUAAGACUGGGAUAACUCCGGGAAACCGGGGCUAAUACCGGAUGGUUGUUUGAACCGCAUGGUUCAAACAUAAAAGGUGGCUUCGGCUACCACUUACAGAUGGACCCGCGGCGCAUUAGCUAGUUGGUGAGGUAACGGCUCACCAAGGCAACGAUGCGUAGCCGACCUGAGAGGGUGAUCGGCCACACUGGGACUGAGACACGGCCCAGACUCCUACGGGAGGCAGCAGUAGGGAAUCUUCCGCAAUGGACGAAAGUCUGACGGAGCAACGCCGCGUGAGUGAUGAAGGUUUUCGGAUCGUAAAGCUCUGUUGUUAGGGAAGAACAAGUACCGUUCGAAUAGGGCGGUACCUUGACGGUACCUAACCAGAAAGCCACGGCUAACUACGUGCCAGCAGCCGCGGUAAUACGUAGGUGGCAAGCGUUGUCCGGAAUUAUUGGGCGUAAAGGGCUCGCAGGCGGUUUCUUAAGUCUGAUGUGAAAAGCCCCCGGCUCAACCGGGGAGGGUCAUUGGAAACUGGGGAACUUGAGUGCAGAAGAGGAGAGUGGAAUUCCACGUGUAGCGGUGAAAUGCGUAGAGAUGUGGAGGAACACCAGUGGCGAAGGCGACUCUCUGGUCUGUACUGACGCUUGAGGAGCGAAAGCGGUGGGAAGCGAACAGGAUUNAUACCCUGUNUCACGCCGUAAAAAUAUUCUUAAGUGUUUGGGGGUUUCCCCCCCUUUUUCUCACUUAACCCCUUUAACACUCCCCCGUGGGAUUUGGCCAAAAUAAACCAAAGAAUACGGGGCCCCAACACGGGUGCAUUUUUAUUUAACACCAACACUACAGUUUACCCCUUCACACUAAAAGCAUCCUUGCGGGAGUGGGUGUGUGUGUCUCUUUUAUUUAUAUACCAACC
rnacentral:rRNA from 1 species